rnacentral:rRNA from 1 species
UGGGGAAUAUUGCGCAAUGGGCGAAAGCCUGACGCAGCAACGCCGCGUGAGUGAUGAAGGCCUUCGGGUCGUAAAGCUCUGUCGGAGGGAACGAAUGCUCCAGGGGUUAACAGCCUCCGGAGGUGACGGUACCCUCAAAGGAAGCACCGGCUAACUCUGUGCCAGCAGCCGCGGUAAUACGUAGGGACCAAGCGUUGUUCGGAUUUACUGGGCGUAAAGGGCGCGUAGGCGGCAAUUCAAGUCAUCUGUGAAAUCUCCGGGCUUAACUCGGAACGGUCAGAUGAUACUGCUUUGCUAGAGUGCAGAAGGGGCAAUCGGAAUUCUUGGUGUAGCGGUGAAAUGCGUAGAUAUCAAGAGGAACACCUGAGGUGAAGACGGGUUGCUGGGCUGACACUGACGCUGAGGCGCGAAAGCCAGGGGAGCAAACGGGAUUAGAUACCCUCGUAGUCCCUGAGCGGGCUGGCAAGGCGCAU